AAUUCUGCAUCAACAAACUUUUGUUACAUUUUUAAAUUAACAUUAUUUUUAUGUUAAUUCUUACAUUCUAUAAGCAGACUGCCCAGUAUAAGUACUAUCAUUUUUAUAUAUUCCCUUCAUUGCUUUUAUAAGUGCAUGGUUUUCAUACGGUUAUAAUUACCAUACAGAUAAAACAUACCAUCUUUUUCCCAGAUUACACUGAAUGAUAUUGGCAAGUAUUUUUUCACAUUAGAAGCAUAAUAUUCUACUAAUCUCCUAAAGCAUUUUCUCAGUUGGGGCAUGUAUAUUACCUUAAAAUGUUUAACUUUGAACUUCUUUAUUAUUUUUACUUAUAUUUAUUAUUUUAAUUUUAUAUUAUUAUUUUAGUAUUUAUAUUUAUUAUUUUUUGGAUACUUUCCACUUCUAGCAAUGUGAUUCUAGGACUGCUGGAUCCUGGGAAAAGUGUAUGAACAUCUUCUGGAUCUAUUGCUCUGAUACUUCUAUUGAGGGUGACAUUGGUGCUUGUCUUACCAAAUAUGAUGCAACUGACAAGUGUUUUCAUGUAAGGAAGAUAUAUGCCUCCCAUCACCUUGUCAAGCUGAGUGAAGGCAAACUCCAGCACAUCCUUUCACAAGUGAUUAGGUGGUCGGAGUCAUUAAAAGUCAUAAAGUUAGACUGCGGGAGUGUGCCAUGCAUAUAUAUGAACUCAUCCAAAGCUGUCCUCCUUGAAGCAGGUGAUAGCUCUCAACUUUGCCUCUGACCGAGUCAUAAAUUCUUGGCUGAGCUUUCCUUCUCUUAGCAUAUCUUUGAAAUUAUACUGAACAGUUAGUGCUGCUUUGGCCAGUCUCAUUGUCUCCUGCUCUCCCAGCCAAGCUUCUAACAACUGGAGGUCCAAACGUCUGAUUUUGGUCCACGAACACAAAACAAAGAACCAGAAUGUCAUCACUUUUUCUUCCACGGCACUUUUAACAUUUUCCAAGUGCCUUACAAACUCCUGUCAAUCAGCCUACUUUAAAAUGGUCUAAAAAAGGCGACAAGAAUGAGAGUGGUAUUAUUUAAACCCUCCCACAAAAGAAGGAAAUUAAGGCACAGAGAGCUAAAGUGACACGACCAAGAGUCUGCACCAGGAUGUCUAACCAGGAGCUCAGAACAAAGUCUAACUUCUUAUGUUAUAAGCUUUUACAGUCUUUCCACUUUCAGUCUCAUCAUCUCCUAGGAAAUAAAUCUGAUUUGCUAUAAAAUAGAAAUACA
rnacentral:lncRNA from 12 species